AGUCUGACUUUUUGCUGGAAUGUAUCUGUGCAAUUCCAGCCAAACUUAAAUCAGUAAAGGACGUGUUGCAUUUUUCUGGACCGGACUUGCAGAGACUGACCAACCUCUCCAGCCCCGAGGUCCAGCGCUUGCUGAGAACUGCCUCCUUACACCUUCGGGGAAGCCGUGUCUGUACAGCGCUGCACCUGCAUCUACAGAAGGAGAGCUUCCCUGCACAGCAUCAGCGCCUGAGCCUCGGCUGCCCUGUGCUGGACAGGCUCCUCCGUGGUGGCCUGCCCCUGGAGGGCAUCACAGAGCUGGCCGGCCACAGCUCAGCAGGGAAGACCCAGCUGGCACUGCAGCUCUGCCUGGCCGUGCAGUUUCCACGGUGGCAUGGAGGCCUGGAGGCUGGUGCCGUCUACAUCUGCACGGAGGAUGCCUUCCCCAGUAGGCGCCUGCAG